UACUCCGUAGCCUCAGUGGUUAGAGCAUCCGACCGGUGUACGGAAGGUCAUGGGUUCAAAUCCACGCUCGUGAUAA